rnacentral:rRNA from 1 species
UACGUAGGAGGCUAGCGUUAUCCGGAAUUACUGGGCGUAAAGGGUGCGUAGGUGGUUUCUUAAGUCAGAGGUGAAAGGCUACGGCUCAACCGUAGUAAGCCUUUGAAACUGGGAAACUUGAGUGCAGGAGAGGAGAGUGGAAUUCCUAGUGUAGCGGUGAAAUGCGUAGAUAUUAGGAGGAACACCAGUUGCGAAGGCGGCUCUCUGGACUGUAACUGACACUGAGACGCGAAAGCUAGGGUAGCAAACGGGAUUAGAUACCCCCGUAGUCCCUGAGCGGG